UGGAUCCAGACUUUGAUCAUGGCUCAGGACGAACGCUGGCGGCGUGCCUAACACAUGCAAGUCGAGCGGGGAUCGCCAGAGGAAGCCUUCGGGUGGAAUUGGGUGAUUCUAGCGGCGGACGGGUGAGUAACGCGUGAGCAAUCUGCCUUUCACAGGGGGAUAACACACCGAAAGGUGUACUAAUACCGCAUGAGACCACAGUGGGGACAUCCCAUAGGGGUCAAAGGAGAAAUCCGGUGAAAGAUGAGCUCGCGUCUGAUUAGCUGGUUGGUGAGGUAACGGCCCACCAAGGCGACGAUCAGUAGCCGACCUGAGAGGGUGAUCGGCCACAUUGGAACUGAGAGACGGUCCAAACUCCUACGGGAGGCAGCAGUGGGGAAUAUUGGGCAAUGGGGGAAACCCUGACCCAGCAACGCCGCGUGAAGGAAGAAGGUUUUCGGAUCGUAAACUUCUAUCCUUGGUGAAAAUGAUGAUGGUAGCCAAGAAGGAAGCCCCGGCUAACUACGUGCCAGCAGCCGCGGUAAUACGUAGGGGGCAAGCGUUGUCCGGAAUGAUUGGGCGUAAAGGGCGCGUAGGCGGCCUUUUAAGUCUGAAGUGAAAGUCCUGCUUUUAAGGUGGGAACUGCUUUGGAUACUGGAAGGCUUGAGUGCAGGAGAGGUAAGCGGAAUUCCCGGUGUAGCGGUGAAAUGCGUAGAGAUCGGGAGGAACACCAGUGGCGAAGGCGGCUUACUGGACUGUUACUGACGCUGAGGCGCGAAAGUGUGGGGAGCAAACAGGAUUAGAUACCCUGGUAGUCCACACUGUAAACGAUGAAUGCUAGGUGUAGGGGGUAUCGACCCCUUCUGUGCCGGAGUCAACACAAUAAGCAUUCCGCCUGGGGAGUACGGCCGCAAGGUUGCAACUCAAAUGAAUUGACGGA
rnacentral:rRNA from 1 species